GCCACCAGGAUCGCCGCCAUCGCCGCCAGCUUCAGCGGCCGCGUCAUCGCAGCACCCCUCCUCCUCCUCCGCCGCCAGCGGGAUCGCCACGCCCACCAUCCCAGCCACCAGGAUCGCCGCCAUCGCCGCCAGCUUCAGCCGUAGCGCCGCCGCGUCAUCGCGGCACCCCUCAUUCUCCUCCGCCGCGCCGCCGCAGCUCCCCACCCGUGGUCUGGGAAGCAGCGAGCGUCAUCCUCGCCCGUGGUCUGGGAGGAGAUGAGGCGAGGUGGAGGCGGAGGAGCCGGCGAGGUGGAGGCGGAGGAGGACGAGGUGGAGGCGGAGGAGCCGGCGAUCAAAUUGGGAGAGAAAGAGGAUAACUUAAGAUAUUAGCAUAAUAAGGUAAGGGUAAAAUAGGUAUUUUAUAUAGGUUUUAACUCUAGUAUAUAUUUAACCCAUGUUUAACCUGAGUUAAGCUAACAGGGGAUAAAUGCGGGUAUAUUUUGGAAUAACGGUGGAACAUAUAAAGGGUAUUUUAGAAAGAAAAAAAAAGUAGGGAUAGAUCGGAUAUUUUCAGACGCAUGAGGAGUAUAUAGGCAAUUAUUCCAAGAAAAAAAGUUAUCAGUACGCUU
rnacentral:lncRNA from 1 species